rnacentral:rRNA from 1 species
AUUGAACGCUGGCGGCAGGCCUAACACAUGCAAGUCGAGCGGAUGAAGGGAGCUUGCUCCUGGAUUCAGCGGCGGACGGGUGAGUAAUGCCUAGGAAUCUGCCUGGUAGUGGGGGAUAACGUCCGGAAACGGGCGCUAAUACCGCAUACGUCCUGAGGGAGAAAGUGGGGGAUCUUCGGACCUCACGCUAUCAGAUGAGCCUAGGUCGGAUUAGCUAGUUGGUGGGGUAAAGGCCUACCAAGGCGACGAUCCGUAACUGGUCUGAGAGGAUGAUCAGUCACACUGGAACUGAGACACGGUCCAGACUCCUACGGGAGGCAGCAGUGGGGAAUCUUGGACAAUGGGCGAAAGCCUGAUCCAGCCAUGCCGCGUGUGUGAAGAAGGUCUUCGGAUUGUAAAGCACUUUAAGUUGGGAGGAAGGGCAGUAAGUUAAUACCUUGCUGUUUUGACGUUACCAACAGAAUAAGCACCGGCUAACUUCGUG